AAAUUGAAGAGUUUGAUCAUGGCUCAGAUUGAACGCUGGCGGCAGGCCUAACACAUGCAAGUCGAACGGUAGCACAGAGAGCUUGCUCUCGGGUGACGAGUGGCGGACGGGUGAGUAAUGUCUGGGAAACUGCCCGAUGGAGGGGGAUAACUACUGGAAACGGUAGCUAAUACCGCAUAAUGUCGCAAGACCAAAGAGGGGGACCUUCGGGCCUCUUGCCAUCGGAUGUGCCCAGAUGGGAUUAGCUUGUAGGUGGGGUAACGGCUCACCUAGGCGACGAUCCCUAGCUGGUCUGAGAGGAUGACCAGCCACACUGGAACUGAGACACGGUCCAGACUCCUACGGGAGGCAGCAGUGGGGAAUAUUGCACAAUGGGCGCAAGCCUGAUGCAGCCAUGCCGCGUGUAUGAAGAAGGCCUUCGGGUUGUAAAGUACUU
rnacentral:rRNA from 1 species